CCGAGAGAGACCAGAGAUGCUACAACGUCUUCCUCUGCCCCACGAAUUUCCUCGCGACGCCAAAGAUGAGAGCCUUCGUCAGGAGCCCUUGAUCAAGGGUACAAGCCAGAGCCACCGCGCCACCAAGUACAAGGAACCUCGCCACAUUGUUUCUUGCCGGUUUCUCUUCUGCUUCCACGAUUUCUGAUUCCUCGCUGUUGGACUCCAGGGACCGAACAAAGUUGUCACCAACCUUAGUGUUGAUCCGGGCCAUCAAGGCACUCUUUGACGCUGGCUCCCCAGCAGCCCUGGCCUCCUGAUAGGCCCGGAGUCCAGGCUCAAUUUUCUUUACACAUCCCCACAUUCCUUGCCGAAUCCCAAGCUUUGCAAUCUCAUACGGGAUACCCAUGUCCUCAUGGUGGAACAGGAGAAUCUCACAGGCU
rnacentral:lncRNA from 1 species